CCCGCCCCCUGCACUGAGGGCCACCCCUGUGGGAUGUGCUGGUGAACAGGACCUGACUGACCUCAAGGAGCCGCCCUCCUCUGAAGAGGGAAGAAAAGCCCCCCACGGGUGUUUCCUGCUUCCAGGAGAGCCCGCCAAGGGCUGCCUCCGUGCCCUUCCGCAGUAGCAGCUGAGCGAGGUGCUCCCGGGGGACGGGCGGGCCCCGCAGACCUGCAGGUUCUGCACAAAGCAAAAGGAAGCUGACGUCACCAGAGGGAGGUAAACAGAAAGACGCUUCCUCUUUCGCUUCCAAGGGCUCCUGCCCGAUUCAGAAGGUUCUCAAACUACAGAACAAUUUCCCUCCCAGCCUGGACGGGGGCUCCGUGACCUGUUCUGGGGCUGCCCCCUUUGUGGCACAGAGAGGGUUAAAAACAGACAAAGCCGGUGGGAGUCCUAGAGUUGGAACAGAAUCCCAGAGCAGGGCUGGGGGGCGGUUUCCAUGCCAACAGCUGCCCCACCCCAUCCCGUCCCCUUCAAGGGUGGGGAAACUCAGUCCCCAAGGGAUCAAGCCAUCUCUGCACAGAUGACUUGAACAGACAAGGCCUCAGCCCUGUGGUUUGGGGGCCCAGGAAACUCGCCUCACCCAAGCAGCUUUCUCACCAUUGGCUCCAGACGCCUACAUGUCCGUCGUCGUGUGAUUACUCCCUGGGGUGUCUCGUCUCGGCUGGAGCAGCAGGGACACCUCGGUUGAGGGGAGCUUCCACUCUGCCACGGCAAGUCCUCUUCUCUCUCUGGUCUCAGUCUCCUUCCCGGCGGAAGGGGCUCCGGCAGCUGCCUCACAGAGCCACUGGCAAGACUACUGAGGCACGACAGCACCAAAACCAAGAAGGAAGCCCCUGUCCAGGCCAGACCAGGCCCGAGCCAAAGCGAACACCCAGAAGUGCACGAGGCGGCAUGAGGUUGGCGGGGAUACAAGGUAAGUGUCCCGUCCCUGCCUUUGGCAGCCCAGAUGCCUUGGGGAGGAGCCCCCCAGGAUGACGAGCUUGAGCCUGAUGCCCUCAUCAGGCCCCCCGUGAAGAAGAGAGAGGAGCACCGAGUGUCCUUUCUGAGUGCCCAGGCUGGGAGGGUGCUCUGUGGCCUCCUGCGGCCAAGGCCAGCGCCUGCGCUCAGCUGGCUCCAGCCUGUGACACUUUGAUGUUCCCCAAACUGGAGUCCCCGGAGCCACGUCCAGCCGGCGCGUCCUAACAUGUAUUUUUCAUCACGAAGAAAGAAAAGCCCUCGUGGAAGAGCCACAGGUGGCCUCGAGGGCAACCAUGCCACGCCCGCUCCCGGGGCUCAUCAGUUCCGUGGCCGGGACUCUCGUGCCCGCCCAUGACUCCUCCACAGUUACGGUCCCAGGAGCUCCGGGACCUGCGCGUCCCCAGAGCAGUCCGGUCAGUGCCGCCAGGCAGACGCUUACGGGAGGCCAGCGCCCACGGCUGGAGGUUCCUCUGGGAAUGGAAACUGCCCCUGAGGGUGUAUCGUGGUACCUGCUCAGGGCUGCUGGGGACCCCGCCGUGAGCAAGGAUCCCAAUUCCUGUUCUCUGAGCUUCAGGACAGGAGCCAGGGCACAGGGUACGAGCCCCGGAGGAAAACGAUGAUGGGGACGCGGGUUGCGGAGUGCGUGUCGCCGAAGACGUUGACGUUUUGGAUCAGGUGUCCCUGAAGACCUCGGUCUCUCUUCAAGAGCUCCGCCAAGGUCGCAAGUUGUGAGGGCGCUGAGACCGUCCGGCGCGUGCUGUUCAGGUGUCGCUCCGGCUCGGUGUUCCCCGCAGACCCAUCGAUGGAGCAUUUGUCAAAUAUACCAAGCGCAGUUGGGCCAGGAGGCGAAGCCAGAGCUGCGGCGGUGAGAGCGGGCGCUUAGCCGUCCUGCCACGAUGGCAAAACUCCGGGUGAGGACAAACCGCUUCCGGGAAGACUGGACCCGGCACCGGCUGUCGCCCCGGUGCCGUCGGUGCAGGGACGUGGCGAGGCGGCCUCCUGGCCCGCCGGGGGUUGGGAAGCCUGACGCAGAGAUCGGGGCAUGAGGUGAGCUCGGUCUGUCGGAGGAGAAGUCAUUUGACAUAAACGCACUUUGGGCUAAAGAAAGAUUCGCAGUAAGGGAAAGAGCAGAGUUCGGGGCUGACUUGGCGCUCUCACACGAUUCUUUGGAAAAGGUUUAAUUAGAACAGGUUCCAAAUGGCUGUAGGAAAACCCCACAGUCCAUACGAACCCAGAGACCCCUUGCUAAAUCCAGGCUGUGUCUGGGGCAGGGGGCCGCGGUGCUGGGGACAAUCGCCCCGUUUGACUUGGAUUCCCACCGUGGUAUGAGCCGGUCACUCAGUCGCUGAGGCGGGGGGCCAUGCGGCUGGUCCACGCCCGGCUGGCUCCAGGCUCCGGGUUGCUCUGUGCUGGGUAAGGGGUGAACGGUGUCUCUGAGAAGGACGGACUGACACCAGGCUUAGCAACCCCCCCACUGCCCCCCCAGCACACCUGAGGGCACGCAGCAGUCCAGCGUCCCCAGACCUCAGCCUGAGG